UAAUACGUAGGGUGCGAGCGUUGUCCGGAAUUAUUGGGCGUAAAGAGCUUGUAGGCGGUCUGUCGCGUCUGCUGUGAAAAUCCGGGGCUCAACCCCGGACUUGCAGUGGGUACGGGCAGACUAGAGUGUGGUAGGGGAGACUGGAAUUCCUGGUGUAGCGGUGAAAUGCGCAGAUAUCAGGAGGAACACCGAUGGCGAAGGCAGGUCUCUGGGCCACUACUGACGCUGAGAAGCGAAAGCAUGGGGAGCGAACAGGAUUAGAUACCCUGGUAGUCCAUGCCGUAAACGUUGGGAACUAGGUGUGGGUCUCAUUCCACGAGAUCCGUGCCGCAGCUAACGCAUUAAGUUCCCCGCCUGGGGAGUACGGCCGCAAGGCUA
rnacentral:rRNA from 1 species